CCGUGGUAAUUCUAGAGCUAAUACAUGCUAAAAAUCCCGACUUCUGGAAGGGAUGUAUUUAUUAGAUAAAAAAUCAAUGCUUUUCGGAGCUCUUUGAUGAUUCAUAAUAACUUUUCGAAUCGCAUGGCCUUGUGCUGGCGAUGGUUCAUUCAAAUUUCUGCCCUAUCAACUUUCGAUGGUAGGAUAGUGGCCUACCAUGGUUUCAACGGGUAACGGGGAAUAAGGGUUCGAUUCCGGAGAGGGAGCCUGAGAAACGGCUACCACAUCCAAGGAAGGCAGCAGGCGCGCAAAUUACCCAAUCCCGACACGGGGAGGUAGUGACAAUAAAUAACGAUACAGGGCCCUUUCGGGUCUUGUAAUUGGAAUGAGUACAAUGUAAAUACCUUAACGAGGAACAAUUGGAGGGCAAGUCUGGUGCCAGCAGCCGCGGUAAUUCCAGCUCCAAUAGCGUAUAUUAAAGUUGUUGCAGUUAAAAAGCUCGUAGUUGAACCUUGGGCUUGGUUGGCCGGUCCGCUUUAUGGCGAGUACUGGACCCAACCGAGCCUUUCCUUCUGGCUAACCUUUCGCCCUUGUGGUGUUUGGAGAACCAGGACUUUUACUUUGAAAAAAUUAGAGUGUUCAAAGCAGGCCUUUGCUCGAAUAUAUUAGCAUGGAAUAAUAGAAUAGGACGUUAUGGUUCUAUUUUGUUGGUUUCUAGGACCAUCGUAAUGAUUAAUAGGGACGGUCGGGGGCAUCAGUAUUCAGUUGUCAGAGGUGAAAUUCUUGGAUUUACUGAAGACUAACUAC
rnacentral:rRNA from 1 species